rnacentral:rRNA from 1 species
AUAUUCUGCCUAACUACCCUAAAGGCACCAGGUCCCAUCUGAUCUUGGAAGCGAAGUAGGGUCAAACGGGGUUAAUAAUUGAAUAGGAAGCUGCCAAUGAAUACUGAAUGCUGUAGGCU